GGGUUUAAAGCGUGCGUAGGUGGUUGAAUAAGUUAUCUGUGAAAUUCCCGGGCUCAACCUGGGACGGUCAGGUAAGACUGUUUGACUCGAGUAUGGGAGAGGGUAGUGGAAUUUCCGGUGUAGCGGUGAAAUGCGUAGAGAUCGGAAGGAACACCGGUGGCGAAGGCGGCUACCUGGCCUAAUACUGACACUGAGGCACGAAAGCGUGGGGAGCAAACAGGAUUAGAUACCCUGGUAGUCCACGCUGUAAACGAUGUCAACUAGCUGUUGGUUAUAUAAAUAUAAUUAGUGGCGCAGCUAACGCGAUAAGUUGACCGCCUGGGGAGUACGGUCGCAAGAUUAAAACU
rnacentral:rRNA from 1 species